rnacentral:rRNA from 1 species
GACGAACGCUGGCGGCGUGCCUAAUACAUGCAAGUUGAGCGAUGAAGAUUGGUGCUUGCACCAAUUUGAAGAGCAGCGAACGGGUGAGUAACGCGUGGGGAAUCUGCCUUGGAGCGGGGGACAACAGUUGGAAACGAAUGCUAAUACCGCAUAAUAACUUUAAACAUAAGUUUUAAGUUUGAAAGAUGCAAUUGCAUCACUCAAAGAUGAUCCCGCGUUGUAUUAGCUAGUUGGUGAGGUAAAGGCUCACCAAGGCGAUGAUACAUAGCCGACCUGAGAGGGUGAUCGGCCACAUUGGGACUGAGGCACGGCCCAAACUCCUACGGGAGGCAGCAGUAGGGAAUCUUCGGCAAUGGACGAAAGUCUGACCGAGCAACGCCGCGUGAGUGAAGAAGGUUUUCGGAUCGUAAAACUCUGUUGGUAGAGAAGAACGUUGGUGAGAGUGGAAAGCUCAUCAAGUGACGGUAACUACCCAGAAAGGGACGGCUAACUACGUG